rnacentral:rRNA from 1 species
GAUGAACGCUGGCGGCGUGCCUAAUACAUGCAAGUCGAGCGAACGGACGAGAAGCUUGCUUCUCUGAUGUUAGCGGCGGACGGGUGAGUAACACGUGGAUAACCUACCUAUAAGACUGGGAUAACUUCGGGAAACCGUAGCUAAUACCGGAUAAUAUUUUGAACCGCAUGGUUCAAAAGUGAAAGACGGUCUUGCUGUCACUUAUAGAUGGAUCCGCGCUGCAUUAGCUAGUUGGUAAGGUAACGGCUUACCAAGGCAACGAUGCAUAGCCGACCUGAGAGGGUGAUCGGCCACACUGGAACUGAGACACGGUCCAGACUCCUACGGGAGGCAGCAGUAGGGAAUCUUCCGCAAUGGGCGAAAGCCUGACGGAGCAACGCCGCGUGAGUGAUGAAGGUCUUCGGAUCGUAAAACCCUGUUAUUAGGGAAGAACAUAUGUGUAAGUAACUGUGCACAUCUUGACGGUACCUAAUCAGAAAGCCACGGCUAACUACGUGC